rnacentral:lncRNA from 1 species
UCUUGGUCUGAAGAAAUCUCGCUGUGCGAGUGUCUCUUCCUGUGGGAGAGAUUAUCUGAGGGAAGGCGGGUCCGCUGUGCAUAACACUAGGAAGAGCAGUCACUAGGGCCAUCCUUAGAGCUUUGGAGAUUAUUAUCAAGCAGGACAGUAAAGUCGCAGCCUUCCCUCCUGCCUCAGAGUUGGUUCACCUGCUGCUGCUGCUUCGUGAUGGUGAUGAUGGUGGUGGUGGUGAUGAUGAUGAUGACGAUUCCUUCGAUGAUACCAGAAAUGGCAUUUCCAAACUUCCAUCCUGGACUAGGGACCAGCAGCUCCAGAAACUUUGAGGGUUUGGCGGGAGGCAGAUUAGAACUAAUGAGUCAACCAGCCUUGUAGACUAAGCAACAGGUUACAUGGAUACCCCACCCCCAAGUGAGGAAGCCCCUUGGGACUGCUGUAACCACUCAGGUGCCUUCCUGAGACAACUCAGAGAGAGAUGGGGAUGCUCUGAAACUCCG